UACGUAGGUGGCGAGCGUUGUCCGGAUUUACUGGGCGUAAAGAGCGCGCAGGCGGCUGGUCAAGUCCGAUGUGAAAGCUCCCGGCUUAACUGGGAAAUUGCAUCGGAAACUGAUCGGCUGGAAGGUGGGAGAGGGUAGCGGAAUUCCCGGUGUAGUGGUGAAAUGCGUAGAUAUCGGGAGGAACACCAGUGGCGAAAGCGGCUACCUGGCCCAUUCUUAACGCUGAGGCGCGAAAGCUAGGGGAGCAAACGGG
rnacentral:rRNA from 1 species